AAACCCUGAUCCAGCAACGCCGCGUGGGGAUGAAGGUCUUCGGAUUGUAAACCCCUGUUGGGAGGGACGAAGGCUUGCGGGCGAACAGUCCGUACGCUUGACGGUACCUCAAGAGGAAGCCCCGGCUAACUCUGUGCCAGCAGCCGCGGUAAUACAGAGGGGGCGAGCGUUAUUCGGAAUUAUUGGGCGUAAAGGGCGCGUAGGCGGCCGAGCAAGUCUUGGGUGAAAUCCCUCGGCUCAACCGAGGAACUGCCUUGGAAACUGCUUGGCUUGAGGCCGGGAGAGGGUGGUGGAAUUCCCAGUGUAGCGGUGAAAUGCGUAGAUAUUGGGAGGAACACCAGUGGCGAAGGCGGCCACCUGGACCGGUCCUGACGCUGAGGCGCGAAAGCGUGGGGAGCAAACAGGAUUAGAUACCCUGGUAGUCCACGCCCUAAACGAUGGGUACUCGGUGUCGCGGGUAUCAACCCCCGCGGUGCCUUAGCUAACGCGUUAAGUACCCCGCCUGGGGAGUACGGUCGCAAGGCUG
rnacentral:rRNA from 1 species